ensembl:processed_transcript D430001F17Rik RIKEN cDNA D430001F17 gene
CCGACAGGUUUACCAACAAGGACAGGCAUGUGCUUUCCCCAGUUCUCUCUCCCAGGUCUUUGCCAGCUGCUCGGCUGCGCAGUGAGUCCUGGAUGUCAAGGUCAAGACAGAGACAUCCGUGCCCACUCCCCACGGGGACGAGACGCGGAUCCGCCCCAUGCUUCCGCAGUCGCCGGGCCCCACGACCCUGGGCGGGCGGCCUGACCCUUCAGCCACGGCCUCCCACGCGGCGAUGGGAGCCGGGGGCCGGCAACCCCGGGAGGGACUCUCCCGCCAGCUUCUACCUGUCGGGACAGCCCGGACGCUGCAGGCGCGGCCAUCUUCUCCCGGGCGGCUGUAGGUCAAACCCAAGUGAGCCUACGGGCGCCAGGGCGCACGCGCGCGCCGGCGUGAUCGCUCGGCUUUCUGGGAAAUGUACGCGUCUGGAGCCCGGGAGUGUGGGUAAGCAACUCUUGCAUGCUGGGAGUUGUAGUCCAUGCCUGCCGCGGUCGGGCUGGACUCAUGGGAAGCCCUGCCUACUGUGAGCGUCACUAUUCCCUUGGCAGGGAUCCUGAACUGUGCAAGAAUAGAGAGAUCGAGCUGGGCGCUACCAUGCAGGCCCAGUCUCCCUGUUCUCUCUGCUCUUGACUGUAGGUGUAACCAGCUGCUUCAGGUUUCUGUCUUGACUUCCCUGAAGUGAUAGACUGCUACCUGGGAUUGUGAGCUAAAUAAAUCCUUCUCUUAUUAAGGAGACUCUUGUCAUGAGCCUGUUCCUGACUCUCCACCAAGCAUGGAGUUAGCCUGAUCCUUGAUCCCUGAUCCCUGGCUGUUGCUGCAUUUCCGACAUACAGCCUGCAUUGAGCUGAUGACAUGUCUGAUGUGGUUCAAUGCUCCUGAGAGAGUUAAAAGGUACCUGAGUCUGAGGAGUCCUCAGUGGGGAAUAGCAAACCAGACAGCUUGCUAAUGGACAGAAUGAGACACCUGGCUGGCCCUUCAAAUGAGCAGAAGUUUCUGGUCUUCCCAUACUUAGUGCCAGUGUUAGAACCCAAGCCCAGAGACCAGCCCACCUCUGUCCAAUGCGACCCAAUCUCUCGGUAGCAGAUCUGGCUCUUGGUUUUUGAUCUUGGAUUCCAGUUUUCUUUGUUCCUUAAUUUUCCCUGUGGGAUGUGUGGGGUUUUUUUGUUUGUUUGUUUGUUUUUGUUUUCCCAUAGAGCUUUGUGUGGUUCUGUUAUGUUGCAUAGAAGGAGGGCUGAUUUCUCCGUUGGGAGGCGAGGGGAGCACUCUGUCACUCUGAUGGAAUGGAUUGGAAGUGGGUGGAUGCUGGCCAACCUGUGUCUGUCCCUCACCCCCAGCGGAGUCUGCUGCCUUCGCUCUGCUGGCUGGUCACAUGUCCCUGUUUACCUGCUCAGGCAGUCAUUACUCACCCCUUCCCACGUACCCCCACACUUGCACACAAAGUGGCUUGCAUUUUCUUUUCGUUCUUUCUUUCUUUUAAAAAAAAGAACUUUCCUCAAGCCCAUUCUAAAAUGUCAAGUGUUUCAGUUUGAGGGGAAAAAAAAGCUGAAAAAACCGUGACUCAUGACAAAGCUGACAAACAGCUCUGAAGGUAUGCCUGUGAGUCACUCUGAGACUGUAGCGGUGAGGGCCAGUGGUGGGGAGAUCGUCAGGAGACCAGCCAGUAAAAUUCCACUACUCUCCAGAGCAGAGUAGGAGGUAAUUCAAAAACCCUGGGAUUUUUCCAGCCCUCAUUUCAUGUAGGACUCUGGCUGCUCUUAGAUAUGUUGAUAUCCUCAGGAAAUCAUCAAGAAUGAUUAUCAAAAAUGUAAAAAAACAAAACA